UACAGAGGUCUCAAGCGUUGUUCGGAUUCAUUGGGCGUAAAGGGUGUGUAGGUGGCGCCGUAAGUGGGGUGUGAAAUUUCGGGGCUUAACCUCGAAACUGCAUUCCAUACUGCGGUGCUUGAGGACUGGAGAGGAGACUGGAAUUUACGGUGUAGCAGUGAAAUGCGUAGAUAUCGUAAGGAAGACCAGUGGCGAAGGCGGGUCUCUGGACAGUUCCUGACACUGAGACACGAAGGCCAGGGGAGCAAACGGG
rnacentral:rRNA from 1 species